GCAGGUUGUUCAACGUGAACUGCUGCUUGCCUGCGAGGUCAGGUGGUUACACUGUUACCGUUAAUUGAAACUGAGCCUGCUUAGUUCUUUCUGCUGUACGUUUUUCAGUUUUAUCCUAUGGCUUUUUCUUGAGUUCGGUAGAUCAAGUUUUUGAUCAGAUUGAGCUUACGUGCGCUCUUGACAUCAGGCUCUGACAUUGCGCCACCCUGGAUGGCAUAUCAGGUGCAUAUCUUUUUAUAUUCUUGUCUGUUGCUAUUUCUUCGUAAGCAUUACUUUAUUCAAGUAUGCAUAUAAAGAUGCGGAUGAUAGCCUAACAGAUGGUCUGCCACUUCAGCAUUCUGAAAACAAUGGUGGCAGAAACGAGCUGCCCAGCUGGUGAUGGCCGAAAACAAAAGCCACUGACUACAAUGACAGUAUGACUGAAAGAGUGAUUCUGAACAACUCCGAAAGAAACAAGAAACCAGAAGCUGGGAAACGUAUCUGCAGCGUUUCUAAGAGAUGCAAUCUUUCAGCAUUGCAGUAUCGAAAGG
rnacentral:lncRNA from 1 species